rnacentral:siRNA from 1 species
UGCAACAUAUCGGAGGUAGGCA